AGACUAGCGGUAGGGGGGGUCUGGUGAAAUAGACAGGCUGUUAGAGGGGUCCUGGUGAAUAGACCAGGCUUGUAGAGGGGGUCUGUUGAAUAGACUAGGCUGUAGAUAGGGGAGGCUGGUGAAUAGACCAGGCUGUAGAGGGGGUCUGGUGAAAGACAGGCUGUUAGAGGGGGUCUGGGUGAAUUGAAGAACUUUGUUCACCAGGGCAUCCGGGCUCCAUUAAUGUCAUGAGAUACACCUAAAUGCCACCCUUGACCCUCUUCCCUAUACAGUGCACUACUAUAGACCCUAUUCCCUAUAUAGUGGUACUACUAUAGACCCUCUUCCCUAUACAGUGCACUACUAUAGACCCCUUCCUUUACGUUCACUACUAUAGACCCUAUUCCCUAUAUAGUGCACUACUAUAGACCCUUCCCUAUAAGUCACACUUAACCCUCU
rnacentral:lncRNA from 1 species